rnacentral:rRNA from 1 species
CAGAAAUGAGAGAAGUCCCUGAACAGGCCUGAUUCCAUCCGAUCUCAGAAGCUAAGCAGGGUCAGGCCUGGUUAGUACUUGGAUGGGAGACCACCCAGGAAGACCAGGUGCUGU